GGACACCUCGGGGGUUUCCUGCUUUAUGGCGAAGGACACAUAUACUCAUAGAAAUGAGUUAUUUAAAGAAGACGGUCCAGAUUCCACAGUCCAAAAAAAAAAAGAGGUUUGCCCUGCUUCCGAAGGAGUCAGGAUAUGAAUGCAGAGGUCUUCCUGUUGGCUCACAUAUCAGACCUUCAACGUCAACAUUAAAUGCGAGUGAUGCUUCCCCCUCUGUGAAUGUGGCUUUGGGUAUGGCUAAUCCACACCCUGCACUCUGGCCUUCAGAAGCCCAGGGAGAGAAGCCUCCCAGAAGCAACCUUCCAGAACCUUCUCCAUCCUCCCACCGACCUCCCCAGCCCCUGUCCUCUCUUUGAAUCUCGUUGUCAAGUUCUUUCCGCAGACGCCUGGCUCCUUGAGGGGAGGUGCAGCUUUCAUCUGACCAUGCAGGCGUGCUUUGCAGUGGGUAGAGCAGUGCUGAAAGAACAUCAGUGUAUCAGCACAGCAAAUAUUCCAAAUGCCAGGCUGGAUUCCCUCCAAUUACCAGAACCUCCAGGCUUCUCCUCCUUUCAAGAACUUUCUGACCCUGGAUCCAGUCUAAAUGUUGGUUAUAAACUCACCUGACAUCCACAGGGCCCUUCCAAAGUACUGUCAAGGCUGACUGCUGGUGCCUGGAACCUGCACACCCUCCUGGGACUCUGCAUCUCUGCUGGGGCUGGUUUCUCCUCUGAGCCACCUUAAGGAAUCCCAUCCUGACCCGGUCAGAGCUCAGCAUGCCUCCCUCUCCUACUUGCUCAGCAUUUUCUGUCUAUCUAGACUGAAGCCUUUGCUUUCUCUCUGUGAUUGUGGUGAAAGUUCAGUUUGCUUUCCUCUCUCUAGAAUGUCAGCAUGAAGGCAGAGGGAUGGUCUCCUGAGUUCCAUAACCCCAAAGCCUAACUCCCUGCCUGCCACACUGAGGGGCUCAGUAGACAUUGACUUACUAAAUUGAAUAGUUGAGUAAUAAUGCUCUUUGAAAUAAUUUGGAGUUAGAUCUUGAGCCUUGUGUGGCCAGGGGAUGGGUGAGGACACAUCAUAAAAACUAAAGGUAACUGAGCAUGCCAGCAGUUGGGGUGAGAAAUUUGCAUGGAGCACUCCAGACGCAGAGGCAGUGCUGGGAAAGAACCCAAGUGCUGGGAAGUCAGAGUGAGAGAGUGAAGGGGCAGUGAGUGCUUCUUUAGGAGCUGGAUCAAAACCUAAGAUGAUCUGGCCACAUGGUGCAGACUGAGCACACACUUGGGAGAGAAAUGGGCCAGGAGGAGAGGAGAGAGGUUCACCACAGGACAGUGGAUGACUGGGAAUAGAAGCCCUCCCCAUGGUGGACCAAGAAGUCUGUGAAGCUGAGAGAAAGACAAAAGAAAUCACGACUUCUGUAGGUAGCUGGGAUGGAAACCUCAGGGGUGACAGGGUCUUUAAAGGAAAUCUCAAGGAAGGCAUCAUGUUCCGGGUGUGCUCCAGGGAUGCUGAGUAAGAAAAGACCAGCCUUUCUGUGUGUGUCUUUACUCUGCCACAAGGCACCUGGGCUCCUAAAUGACCAACACACAUGUGCUAUACUGGUGCCAAGAAAGAAGGGUGUUUUGUAGGAAAGUCAAGGUGAGAGGAGGUGCCCAGGGCUUGGCUCCUUUCUUUGAAGGGUGAUGGUGUAAAUUCUCCAUGCUGGGGAUCCUACUGAUGGAUGGAGGCAUGUCGACCUCAUCAUUUCACAGAGUGGGGAGCUAUGGCCACAACGUGCCUAUCACACAAGUCCAGCCUCACGUCAGCUGGACACCAGCUGUUCUGACACUUGUCAGCACAUGGGGCACCCGGAAGUUCACGGUGUUCUGCAAAGAACGCCACAAAACAGUGAGCUCAACUUCUUGAAAGUCAUAAUGUGUUGCUAAGUCCGAUCCCAGAUCCUAAAAAUAAUAUGAGGUAGUGGCCAUUGAACAGAAAAAAUUUACAUCUUAAACUUGAAGAUAAGUACAAGUGUACCUUUUUCUACCACUGUUGUUCAGUUUUAUUAUAUUGACAAGCACCUCUGCCCACCCUAUGGGGUAAAACUGUUUGAAAGUGUUUAUGAAAGUUUUAUAUAAAUAUUGGCUGAUCAAAUGUACAAAAUAUGCAUGAUGGCACCAUAUUGUGUAUAAUAGUGACAAAUACAGUCCAUGUGGGUGGAGAAACAAGCUCGGUGUUGUGCAUGCAACUGUGGUUUGUGUUCACACUUCUCCUUUAGAGUGUAGUAGACAGAGCAUGCCUGAACUGCCUGGGGCUGAGGGGUCUCAGGCGUAGAGUGGCCCAGGAAUUCUGAGCAAGGACAGAAUGUUAGAGAGAAUAUCCUGAGCUGAGCAGAGAGGCCUGCCCAUGCUAGCUGGCAGCCACCUGCCUUCAGUGCUUCAUUCUUGGGGGACCUUGAGGCCAGUUCCUGCCGCUACUGCUGCUGCCCACUUGGUAGCUCUGUCCUCAUCAGGGAAGAGCCACUGUGAACCCCAGAGACCUAGUGGUGCUAGGGGCUGAUGCAGGCAAAUGACUGGCUGCCCCUGGAUCUUAUGUGAAAACAAGAAUGCUGGACCAAAAGGUCUCUACAGGGCUCCAUGACUACCCAUGACCUGUCACUUCAGUGAGGGGCUAGUGGCCAGGAGGGGCUCAGGGUUGGACACUGGUAUUCCUCUACUCAGACCUUACACCACAGGUUGCAAGAACAGGGAGGUCACAUGUCAGUGACCUCAUGCCUAAAUAGAUGCACAGCACAGAGCAGAUUCCUGGAUAGCUUACACCCUACUUUCCCCAGUGCAUCGAUUAUGACUUCCUUUCUAGCAACUGUGAGUACAGCCGGGACUCAUCAAUCACACCUGUAACUUCCCAGCUGCAUUUCUCAGGGUCUCUGACAGCAGGGCCUUCUCUGGUCUUUUUAAAUUACCCACAGACCUAGGACAGUCUUCUGCACAUACUUCUACAUUUUAAAGGCUUACUUUUAGUAUGUUUAUGUGUGUGAGAUGGGGAAUAUUGUAUUCAUGUGUGCAUGUAUAUGUCUGUGAGUACUGUGGUCUGUGUGUGUAACUGGAUAUGACUGUGUGUGUCAUAUGGAUACAGGGGACUAGAAUGAGGACAGCCAGGUGUCCAGGCUAUAAGAUCUAAGGAGGAACUUGCUCUCAGGGCCAACCCUGCCCUUGCGUGAGCCUGAGAGAGAGAGCCUCCUGGAAUUUUGCACCUUGAGUGCCUUCCUGCUUCACCCUAAUCCCCCUGGUUGUCUGUAUGUUUGGAUGUGAGUGUUGUACAUAUGCUGUGUAUGUGUGUGCAUGCAUGUGAGUGUGCAUGGGUGUGUGUCUGUAUGUCUCAGCAGCUGUCACUGGGCUUCCCAGUCCCUGUCAGCAGGCGAAGGAGGCCCCUUCAUUUCCUUGGGUCCUGCUUAUGCAGCAGAGGCCACAGCAAAGGCUCCCUGGGUUGGGUCAGCCCUCACUGUAACUCAACAUGCCCUGGAAGUCACCACAGGGUCAUGGAAAGUGUCCUGGUGAUGAGAUGGAGUGUCUGCUUUGCCACAAGGGCUGUGGGACCAGGGUCGGGGCAUACCUCUCUGGGUCUCAGUUUCCUCACUGGUAAGAUGUGGCGACAGAAUCUCAUCUGUGAGCCCCCUCUAGCCUUGAACAACUCUGGAUCCAGGUAGACCAGCAUAAUGAAAGCCUAUGAAGCUUCUGAGAUGUGUGAGGCAUACAUUGUCCCAGGUACUCAAGUAACUUAAGUCUGGAAGCUGCGAGCCACAGAGAUCAAGCCUUCUCCAAAAAUUGGACUGCAAGGCAUGCCAUACAAACAGAGUGCUAGGAGACCUUGGGGAGGUGGGGAAGAGGAAGAGGAAUCAUGGACAGCUUCAUGGGGAGGUGGCUUUGGAGCUGGGAUGGGUGAGGACAGCUGGAAUGUGGGCAGCACGUGACCAAGUGCUUUGCAGACAUGGCAUGGCCCCCAGCCAGGCCCUGAGGAAAGGAGAGUCUCAGGACAGCAGCUAUGUCACUGUAAGCAGGACCCUUGAAAGCAGGUGCCACCUGCAAAAGGGGGAGCCCUGAGGCCCAGGCAGGCCUGUCACAGUGUGGGGCACCUGUCUAGACAGCCCCAUGGCCAGCAGUGGGGGUGGGCCAUGGGCCAUGGGGACCUUCCUGGUAUGGGGUACUGCCAUGUCCCCAGGGAAUAUGGGGGGUCCAGGAAGGUCCCCAAGGCUCGAAGGACCCAGGUCUUUUCAUACUGCCAAAGAGAUGUAAGGCCUACAGAGGGGAAAGUUUGCAUAUCUGUGAAGGCAUGGAGCCUAGGCAUUGGAAGUGUCCAGUAACCAUUUUCAUUUGGCAGAAGUGUCUCCACGGCACUUCUACCUGCAGCCCUGCCACAUUUUGCCACAAACUGCCCAGCAGCCCUGAGAUGGAGCCCCAGUGUAGACCGUCAUGGAGCACACCAGCUCUGGAACAAUGAGGAGCAGACUCGAGAAAGCCAGAUGGGGUUUACCUGUCAACAGCCACAACAUAGUCGUGCUGGGGUGACUGUUCAAGAUAAAUGAACUUUGGUGCUCCUGCCGAAUGGGUUGUUAGUGUUCGGUCCUUUUCCUACCACUGAGUUGUUUUGUCUGAUCAUUCUUCUUCCUGGUUCUGCGGGUCUGCCUUCUUGAAAGGGAAGAGCAAGACUCCAGCUCCCUGCCCUGUAGAGGUGCCUUCUACCUUGCUCAGUGUUGAAGCAAAGGAGCAAAGCAAAGCUUAAGUCAGAGAUUUGGUGCUCAGCUAAUCACAGAGACUUUUAAAUGUCAACCAGGGUUUGCUAUCAGGCCAAAGCUGGAUUAUUAUUACCCAAAGUAGAAAAUUGUGAGACAGAGGCAGGUGGGGAGGGAGGGAGAGAGAAGAAAGCAGAAGGUGGAGGAUUCGUGGAUUUAAUUUUUUAAAAAUAAAUAUAUGAUUCCGUGUCAAUUAAAAACAAGUACCCCAGGCAAGUCUUCCUGCAGUCCUGUCUUAGCCGCACACACAGCAUAACUGCAAACCCACUUGAGCUCAUUUUUGCUCAAAGACCAAUUCUAUUAAACCCUUAGAAUGUUCUGGAUUUCAACACACAGUCCACAGACAGCCAUUCUAUCAAAAGCUUAGUGUUUUCCCUAUGACUGGGUUUUCUGGUAAGGUGAACUAAGGCAUCCUUUUCCAUUUCAGGCUGUGGUAACAGCAGAUAACAGCCGCAGAGGUCAUAGCCAGCACUUUCUAUGUGUCCCUUCAUUUAAUCCCAGUACUCCUAGGUGGUAGAUCUAUUAUUUUGUCCACAUGAAUGAUUGAAAAGUCUGUCCUAAAUUUUAAAUGGAACGAAGUACUGGGUUGCAAGUUACUGGCGGCUGUUUCACAGGAAAUACGACGACAAUGGGACUUUGGGAAUGUGUUCUGGAGACUCCGCUCCUUGGUGACUACUACAUGGAGCACAGAAAAUUGUCUUGAGUGGCAGCUAUGUGCCAGGUGAGGAGACAGGUUUUACUCACAUGACUCCCCAGAAGCCCUGCAGCGUCUCCAUAUUUUAUAAAGAGGAAGUACAAGCCCAGAGAGACAUCUGACUUGACUAAGUUCACACAAAAACAGCAAGGUCUGGGCCAAGACGGAAGCCCGGGCUUUGCCUUCUUCUUCUGCCUGCAGGGCAGGGGCUUUCAUCCUGGCUUCACGCUGAUUUCAAAAGCCUGUCAUUCUCUUGACACCUCAUGGCCCCUGAGUUUAUCCCAAGAAUAAUAAGUUCUACUGUCCUCCUGGAGAUGCCGAAGAAUCAAAACUGCAACACACAGAGGGCCUGGGUGUGCGCGAACCCUGUAGUACACACCGAUGACAGCAGAUUAAGCCAUUUCUCUCUUAGGUGCGUCACCCAACCAGCUCCUGGACCCUUCUGCUGUGCUGCCCUGACAGUCACAAUAUGUCCUAGUGGACUAAUUAGCACUAACUACCCAUGUCACCCCAAGGCCAUUUAAGAAGACAAAUAAAAAAGACAAAACCAAUGAGUAUUGUGGCUGAAGAUGACGAAAAAAAGUUAAAAGCAGGGAGGAAUGAAUUAUUUUUUCUUUCUCAAUCUCUCUCUCUGUUUAAACCAAAGAGAGGUUUUCAUCUGAGAGCCCGGGAGCUAAGCAGCUACUUUCUACAUGAAAAAGUGAAAACAUUAAAAUAAAAUCCCUUUCUUUCAAGCUAACGUUCUAAAACUGAACCUCUGCAGAGGCUCCAAAAGAGAAAUGCCUUGCUUUUAAGCCCCUGAGUGAGAGGGAUCCUGAGGAAGUGGCAGAGGGGAUGAACCUAAGCUUUGGGACAUAACAACCGGCACCUCCAGUGGCCACCACUCCUAGCUAUGCUGCCUGUGGAUGGGGCCCCAGUGCUGGCCCCUAACAGCAUGGGGAAGCCUCCCCAGCCACUUUGAAGCUGUUUGCAUCACAUCCAAGAUGAACCUAGGCAGGGAGGCUGAGUGUGCUUGGGAGAUGCCAAGUUAGGGAAGUAAGUUCCCCAGGGUCCUUCAACUUGUGGUGCCUGAGGAUAGCUGCUUUUUUUCCAGUGCAGAUGGAGACACGGCAGACUUGGGGGGAUGUGUGAAAGUAAGGCCUCCCUCCCUCUGCCUUUCCAAGUGGCUGAGCAUCUCCUUCCUUCUCAUAGCUACUUCUAGGAGAGGCAUCCAGGCAGGAACCUCUUCUCCAUUUCACAGAUGGGAAGACUGAGAACCAUACUGGAAAGGGGCGUAUUUUAAUUAAAGUGGGGAACACUGAUGAGGAAAGCAAGCUGAUAGACUGAAGGCCCUGCCUGUCACUGCCAGCACGGGCACUUGAGCCUUCUUAUCAAGGGUUCUGAUGGGAGUUUCCACUAGGAUUCCAGGUGUCGAUCAUCUAGUAGCCGAGUUCUGAUGAGCUGGACUUUGGGUGGUUGAGGUAGGGAGCAGUGGAAAGGGGAAUUGGAGUCAUAUCAACCUCUUUGAACACCAGUUCCUUCCCCUCUCUUCUAUAAAAAUGUCGUAGCAAUACCUGCCUGGCAGAGUUGUGAGAAUUAAAUGAGAUGAUGAAUACAUCUGCUCUCAGCACCACACCACACCUGUGGCAGUCCUCAGAGAGAAGAAUCACAGCUUCCAUUCAUUGACAGCUCACUAAGUGCCAGGUAUGCUCAGCUCUUGUGCAGACAUUCUUUUUCUUUGGAUGUAAAUGUGACAUGGGCAGAGCAGGAGGAGCUGUGAGGCUGGCUUGGCUGAGCCAUAGGGAUUGCUGGCAUCUUAUAUGGCAUUCAGGACUAUGGAGGGUCCACGGGAAGAAACACAGAAACAGAAUCCAAGUAUCCUUCGGGGACUCUUGGACUUUCUUCCCCUUGAUCUUAGACAUGCCUCAGUAAAGAGAUGCUGGUUUCUAUCGAGACUCAUUCCUGGGGAAGGACCCCCACCAGCCAAGCAAGGUAAAGCCCAGACUCAGUUACAUGAAUUACAGGUUUAAGACAGACGCCUUCCUAUGAAUAUUUUUCUGGCCAGUGGCUUAUAUAAGAGAAAUUUGCUCAUUGUAUUUCUAUCUGGCCAAGGAAGGGGUCUAGGGGGGCUUUCAGCAACCCAAACAGUCUUGUCAGCCCUAACUCUGGACCUAAGGAAAUAAUUAUGAAUCUUCAAGAUCCAUUUAAAAGUGUCAUUACUGUAGAUAAACAAAGAAGAGCGGAUGCUUCUUCCUACUCCACCUCACUGCAGAGAUUCCAUCCAUCCCAGGGUCACUGACCACUGACUGGAUGAACUAGGAUUGGUGUGGCAGAGUGGAGUUUUCAGGAGCCAAGAGACUCCUGGAUUGUCAUGCUCUGUACUCCUUCCCCACAAAAGGAAUGUCUAGAACUCCUGCUGAAAGUAGUCAUUGCCUGCAUUUCCUAGGCAGAAUGUGUUAGCUCCCUCCCCAGAAGAACCUGGGCGAAGGUGUUCCAAUCUGCAUUUGGAAAGAAUCCCUCCCGCAAAGAACUCUACACCCUCUAAGAGAAGAUAACGUGAGGGCAUAUUCUCCUCUCUUAGAGGGUGUUUUUCAAUACUAAAUUCUAUCUCUGAAGAGAAUGAGGACCCGAAGUGGGGCAGUGCACCAAGUUUUCAACUAAAACAAAAGCAAAACUAAUCUGCAGUCUUGAAGGUGGGCUCAUUCAUUCCCCUGCCCCCACUUUUUAAAACAUUUUUUUUCUUAAAUGAAACAGUUUCUUUUAUCUUUUGGCUUCUCGUGUACUCAGAACCAUAGAGCUCAAAGCUUCUCAGCUCAACGGAGAACUCAGCACUUCUUGGACUGAUAAAUAGAGCAGCUUUAAAAUGCUUAGAACUGAAGACAGACCAACUGUGGCGAGAGAAAGUAAACACAUCCAUGCACCAGUCAACCCUAGCAAGCUCCUCGCUGAGAUUACAAACUGCAGUUCCUGCCUGAGCUGGAGAGGAUGCUGGAGCAGGCUGGGGGACCAGAACCACAAACCAGCCCUGGCUUAGCUCUGGCUUAGCUAGCUGUGCCCCAGAAGAGCUGGGUCCUCAGGGAGACUUCUUGCGGCCCGGUUUGGAUGUUCCUAAGCAUAGAAGACUCUGCCAGUGUGUCCCUCAUUCGUUUCACAUUUGGAAAUGUACCAAGAGAAGUGGGAACCAGCUUUACUCUUUCGGAUCUAGAUGGGAAUCCUUUCCUUUGCAUUCAAGCUCUCUGUGUACAGGUGUAACUUGCCAGUGAAAGACUUGGGAUUUCUCACAAAAUAGAAUGUGAUAACGACAUAAUUUGAUAUGAAUAUUUGAGGAACUUUAUCUAUGGACAAUAUAUACUUUAAACAUCUCCCUCCCCAAGUCACACACACAAAUUGUUUUUAUGAGAACCAAUUAAUAAAUGCUAAUUCAUUGAGGCAUAUCUUCACUAAAUUACUGUUUCAUUUAAUUGCAGGGGAAUUUUCCAUUACUAAACUCCCUUGCUGAUUUUUUUUUGCAUUAUUUAUAUAUUCUUUCAAUUUCACUAAUAGUGAGGUUGGUAUGUGAUAUUAUCUGAUGUUUGUACGUCUUAAAUUUAUUUUUCAUUUAAAAUAUUUCCUCAUUCUUGCAGCUCCACAUAAUCAGGGAGAAACAUCAAUAAAAGCAGGCAAGAUUUUACAAUAAAUGAUUGAAAAAGGCACUGGCUGAAAUUAACCUGACAGGAACGCGUCCUGUGUGAUUGUGUUUCUCUCAUUCCAGACGUGCGUGUGUGUGCGUGUGUGUGUGUCUCUACUUUGGGUUAAUGUGGGAAUGCUUUCCUAUAUCAAUAAGUCACAAGUCGAUCUGUGAAAAGAUUGUGCAUACAAAAUGGAGAUGAAGAUCACAGGGGCUUUAAUAAUAAAAUAAACAUAAGCAACACUCGAAUCUCUUUAUAAAUCCCAGAGCACAAUGUGCGUUUUCUUACUUCCUUUUCCUGGACCCCAAAUAAAGACUUUGACAGCCAGAUAUCCAAGAUCCGGAUCAGCCAGCUUCCUAAAAUUCUCCUCUUCUUUUUUAAGGUGUAGAAAAGUGGGGGUAUCCCUUGGUGGUUAGGGGGUGCUUGGAGACUGUGGUAGAGAUUUGGUGUUAACAAAAAUGUAUUUUGAAAGCAGGAUUUCAAUUUUCUUAUACUGAAUGGCAAAGGUUCCACGCACCUGGCUAUCUUCAUUUGUGAAAUGAAUGCUUUCAUUUUAUUCUCUCCAGCUACCUUGUCCCUUUCUUUCCUUUCCACCCCCACUGCCUCCUUUCAGUGUCUUUCUUUUUCUCCUUAUUCUUUCACUCCUUUCUCUCUCACAGCAAAAUGUUCUGGAGGAUGUGAAUGAUUAAACUGUUUACUCCAAGGUUUAGGUAUGAAAAGGCAAGUCACUGUAAGUAAAGUUUCACCUUUAUACCCAACUCCAUCAAUAAUUACAGAACAAGGAUGACUGUUAGUAAAUCUUUCUUACAAUUGGCUCUUACAAAAAUGAUUUCAUUUUUUCUGGGCAUACCAAGUUUGACAGAUUUUACUUUUCACAAAAAUUAUUUACACAGCAGAGGAACCCGCUCCAAAAUGAAGGAAGCAUAUAAAGGGCCGUUGAGUGUAUCCAUAGGAAAAUGAAUACCUAUAAAAUGCAUCUCAAUAAAUUAGAGAUUUGAGGCCAUAAAUAGAACGUUUUGACGUAUUAUAUUAGUAGAUGCCCUCUAAUUUAAACCAAAGUGUCCCUUAAUAAUUAAAAUUCCAUGAGAUUGAUUUUUUAUUUGGUUUCCUUCACUUCCUUUGUCUUCUUCAACAAAAUUAGGCAGAGUCCUUUUGGGGGUAGACUGAUAAAAUUAAUUAACUUUCCUUCCCACCCCAAAAAGUUCCAAAUAAAUGCUUCCAAUAGACUCAAAAAAGUGUCAAUUAGAAAUAAUUACUUCUUAUCAAUCAGUGGGGCAAUUAAAGUGACAAAGCUUAAAAAGAUACUUAUCUUAAAACUAAUUCACAAGGUAGCUAAAUUAUCUCCUAAUUAACUUGCAUUGUGGAGGGUGGGGGGGAUAAACCAUCUUGAAACAAAGAUGAAUUGAUGAACCCCAAUACCUCUUUAUGUUCCUCAAAGUUGCUUCCAUUCCCUGAAACCUUAUUUUCAACCCAGGCAGGAAACCUGGGAAGAAAACAGAUCCUUUCCAAAUGCAUUUAUUCCACUUUCCUCAAUUCUAAAACCAAGAGUUAGGAAUGGGGCUUUAGAUCUCACAUCUGGGAAGUUAGAGACAUCGUCCUCUGCCUUGUCUUAUUUUACCACUUGAAUGAACUAUUUUCAGGGCUGGUGGGAGUGCGCUGCGACAAGUUAUUUAAGAUAACUUUUAAUGACAGCCAGCCUGCUUGCUUUUACAAAACUCUCUUCCUCAUUGGCACAGUAUUGUUUUCACUUUUAUAGAUAUGGGGCAUUUAUCAUUUCUUCUGCAUCUUCGAAUUUUUUAAAAAAUGUUUUUGCUUUAGAGAAUUUCGUCCCUGAUGCAACAAAAAUAGCGAUUUUAAGGAACGUUCAGCCCAUCGCUGACCUGCGCACGUUAAAAUGAUUCGCGUGCAACGUUCCUUCAGAAUAAAGCUGUAGGAAAGACAAUGCUAAGACUCUCUGCAAGGCAAGACCAGCCAGCGACGAGGCGAGACAGCCGUGGCAGCCUGGGCGGCGGGGGCCGCGCAGGGAAGUUUUCCUGAGCGUCUCCGGUUAUUGGGAAGGGUGCGCUCGGCCUCGCUCCCGCGAAAAGCCGUGUGGCUGCCCGCGUCCCGGGCUCUGCUCACAGAACACUUAAGGGGAGCUCCCUAAGCACUACCGAUCUCAGGAAUAGGGGUGCCUGGGGAAAAGGGGGAAGCUGCUACAACCCGAGAGAAAAUGGGCUUGUAAAAACAAGAGGGGUGCGCUUAUGAAUUUAGCUCCAAUUAUAGACAACAGUGUCAGGUAAGCUGAUCAGAAAGACAGACGGCCUCUCCCUCAGGUUUGCCGAGGGAGGGUUCAGAAAAGAAACAGGGAGCGCCUUCAGCAGUCUAUGCUGUUAUAGGCCAUUUUCUUGUUUUAUUAGCGUUUAAAUUAAACUAUGAGAAGAAAGUCUCAUCUUCCCUCCCUCGCCACUUUGUUUAUUUGUUUUGGAAAGGGGGUAGAAGAAGCCCCUCUGUCUUCCCGAAAAGAAGAAGGGGAAAAAAAUUACCUGGUAGGUCCAGGGGCAGAGGGCUCCCUCCCAAAACCCAAGCGCGAUUUGCAUCCAAGCUAGUGGGAAAGCGCGCAUCUCAUCAUCUGGGACUGUUACUGAUUAAAACUACAGUAAAAAUAAA
rnacentral:antisense_RNA from 1 species